GGAUAUUAGGGCAAUCUAAGAGCAACGUCUAUCAACCAUUUGAUUGCCAGGGUUGGUGCAGCAGAUCUGUUUGACUAGACAGGUGUUCCCUUCCUUCCUCACCACUCCAUAUGCGUUCCUCCCAAAGCUGUGUGCUCGGUAAAAAAGGAUGACCAUCCCCGAUGGAGAAGGACCCAUCUUCAGUCAAGGGCAUGUGAGUAGAUGGGCUUCCCUGCUAGAACUUCCAAACAAGCUCUCAAGAAGAGAAAAAUCAAUCACAUAUUAUUCUUCACCUCUGUUGUUUAUUAUUUAUUGAUUUAU
ensembl:misc_RNA 7SK 7SK RNA